AGCAGGGGAUCGCAAGACCUUGCGCUUUUGGAGCGGCCGAUGUCUGAUUAGCUAGUUGGUGGGGUAAAGGCUUACCAAGGCUUCGAUCAGUAGCUGGUCUGAGAGGACGACCAGCCACACUGGGACUGAGACACGGCCCAGACUCCUACGGGAGGCAGCAGUGGGGAAUUUUGGACAAUGGGGGAAACCCUGAUCCAGCCAUGCCGCGUGAGUGAAGAAGGCCUUCGGGUUGUAAAGCUCUUUCAGCCGGAACGAAAAGGUCACGGCUAAUACCUGUGACAAAUGACGGUACCGGAAGAAGAAGCACCGGCUAACUACGUGCCAGCAGCCGCGGUAAUACGUAGGGUGCAAGCGUUAAUCGGAAUUACUGGGCGUAAAGCGUGCGCAGGCGGUUUUGUAAGUCAGAUGUGAAAUCCCCGGGCUUAACCUGGGAACUGCGUUUGAAACUACCAAGGCUAG
rnacentral:rRNA from 1 species